rnacentral:rRNA from 1 species
UACAGAGGUCCCAAGCGUUGUUCGGAUUCAUUGGGCGUAAAGGGUGCGUAGGCGGCGGGGAAAGUUUAAGGUGAAAUCUCCAGGCUCAACUUGGAAAAUGCCUCGAAUACUUCCUCGCUAGAGGGUCGCAGAGGAGGUUGGAAUUCUCGGUGUAGCAGUGAAAUGCGUAGAUAUCGAGAGGAACAUCAGUGGCGAAAGCGAAUCUCUGGGCGACACCUGACGCUGAGGUGCGAAAGCGUGGGGAGCAAACAGG